rnacentral:tRNA from 1 species
GCGGGUGAAACUCAGUGGUAGAGUGCUUGCUUAACAUGCACAAGGUCCUGGGUUCAGUCCCCAGUACCUCCG